rnacentral:rRNA from 1 species
GAUGAACGCUGGCGGCGUGCCUAAUACAUGCAGGUCGAGCGAACGGACGAGAAGCUUGCUUCUCUGAUGUUAGCGGCGGACGGGUGAGUAACACGUGGAUAACCUACCUAUAAGACUGGGAUAACUUCGGGAAACCGGAGCUAAUACCGGAUAAUAUUUUGAACCGCAUGGUUCAAAAGUGAAAGACGGUCUUGCUUUCACUUAUAGAUGGAUCCGCGCUGCAUUAGCUAGUUGGUAAGGUAACGGCUUACCAAGGCAACGAUGCAUAGCCGACCUGAGAGGGUGAUCGGCCACACUGGAACUGAGACACGGUCCAGACUCCUACGGGAGGCAGCAGUAGGGAAUCUUCCGCAAUGGGCGAAAGCCUGACGGAGCAACGCCGCGUGAGUGAUGAAGGUCUUCGGAUCGUAAAACUCUGUUAUUAGGGAAGAACAUAUGUGUAAGUAACUGUGCACAUCUUGACGGUACCUAAUCAGAAAGCCACGGCUAACUACGUG